CCCGCUGAACUUAAGCAUAUCAAUAAGCGGAGGAAAAGAAACUAACAAGGAUUCCCCUAGUAACUGCGAGUGAAGCGGGAAAAGCUCAAAUUUAAAAUCUGGCAGUCUCUGGCUGUCCGAGUUGUAAUCUAGAGAAGCAUUAUCCGCGCUGGACCGUGUACAAGUCUCCUGGAAUGGAGCGUCAUAGAGGGUGAGAAUCCCGUCUUUGACACGGACUGCCAGGGCUUUGUGAUGUGCUCUCAAAGAGUCGAGUUGUUUGGGAAUGCAGCUCAAAAUGGGUGGUAAAUUCCAUCUAAAGCUAAAUAUUGGCGAGAGACCGAUAGCGAACAAGUACCGUGAGGGAAAGAUGAAAAGAACUUUGGAAAGAGAGUCAAACAGUACGUGAAAUUGCUGAAAGGGAAACGCUUGAAGUCAGUCACGUUGGCCAGGGAGCAACCUUGCUUUUGCUUGGUGUACUUUCUGGUUGAUGGGUCAGCAUCAAUUUUGACCAUUGGAAAAAGGUCAAGGGAAUGUGGCAUCUUCGGAUGUGUUAUAGCCCUUGGUUGCAUACAAUGGUUGGGAUUGAGGAACUCAGCACGCCGCAAGGCCGGGUUUUUUAACCACGUACGUGCUUAGGAUGCUGGCAAAAUGGCUUUAAUCGACCCGUCUUGAAACACGG
rnacentral:rRNA from 1 species